CCGCCAGAGGUCUAAACUUACAACCAAUUUUUUAUCAACUUGUCACACCAGAUUAUUACUAAUAGUCAAAACUUUCAACAACGGAUCUCUUGGUUCUCGCAUCGAUGAAGAACGCAGCGAAAUGCGAUACGUAAUAUGAAUUGCAGAUAUUCGUGAAUCAUCGAAUCUUUGAACGCACAUUGCGCCCUCUGGUAUUCCGGAGGGCAUGCCUGUUUGAGCGUCGUUUCUCCCUCAAACCGCUGGGUUUGGUGUUGAGCAAUACGACUUGGGUUUGCUUGAAAGACGGUAGUGGUAAGGCGGGAUCGCUUUGACAAUGGCUUAGGUCUAACCAAAAACAUUGCUUGCGGCGGCAACGUCUACCACGUAUAUCUUCAAACUUUGACCUCAAAUCAGGUAGGACUACCCGCUGAACUUAAGCAUAUCAAUAAGCGGGAGGAAA
rnacentral:rRNA from 1 species